AACGCGAAGAACCUUACCUAGACUUGACAUCUUCUGCAUUACCCUUAAUCGGGGAAGUUCCUUCGGGAACAGAAUGACAGGUGGUGCAUGGUUGUCGUCAGCUCGUGUCGUGAGAUGUUGGGUUAAGUCCCGCAACGAGCGCAACCCCUAUUGUUAGUUGCUACCAUUAAGUUGAGCACUCUAGCGAGACUGCCCGGGUUAACCGGGAGGAAGGUGGGGAUGACGUCAAAUCAUCAUGCCCCUUAUGUCUAGGGCUACACACGUGCUACAAUGGCAAGUACAGAGAGAUGCAAUACCGUGAGGUGGAGCUAAACUUCAAAACUUGUCUCAGUUCGGAUUGUAGGCUGAAACUCGCCUACAUGAAGCCGGAGUUACUAGUAAUCGCGAAUCAGCAUGUCGCGGUGAAUACGUUCCCGGGCCUUGUACACACCG
rnacentral:rRNA from 1 species